rnacentral:rRNA from 1 species
AGGAAGUCAAGUACCUUAUACAGCCAGGAAGUUGGCUUAGAAGCAGCCAUCUUUUAAAGAAAGCGUAACAGCUCGCUGGUCUAUUAUGGUAUUUGGCGCCGACAAUGAACCGGGGCUAAAAUUUUUACCGAAGCUAUGGAUGUCGCCGUAAGGCGACGUGGUAGAGGAGCGUACCGCACUUAGUGAAGCUGUGCCGUAAGGCAUGGUGGAAAGUGCGGCAGUGAGAAUGCCGGUAUGAGUAGCGAAAGUCGCCAGAAUAAGGCGACCGCCGAAUGCCCAAGGUUUCCGUUUCAAUGUUAAUCAGAGACGGGUUAAUCGGUCCUAAGGUCAGCCCGCCGCAAGGCGGGGUAGCCGAUGGAUAACAGGUUAAAAUUCCUGUAUUGAAUUGUUCCAACAGAAAGCUUCAGGGGUUGACGGUCGCCUUAGGCGACCCAGGAAAAUAUCCGUGAAGGGGGACAAUUUAACCGUACCACAAACCGACACAGGUGGGCGAGUUGAGUAUACAAAGGCGAUCGGGAUAACUAUCCUUAAGGAACUCGGCAACGAAAGCUGGACGUAAGCUAUGCGAGAUGUCCUGUCCUGAGAGAAAUCGAAGGAUUACAACAAAAGACGCUGAGCGACUGUUUAACAAAAACACAGGUCCCUGCUAAUCCGUAAGGAGAUGUAUAGGGGCUGAUACCUGCCCAGUGCCAGUAAUUUACUGUCUCAAGUGACCUCGCCUCGGCGAGUGAGCCUGGGGCCUAAGAUCUGGUGAACGGCAGCAGUAACUAUAACUGUUCCAUGGUAGCGAAGUUCCUCUUACUAUAAGACAGGGGACAUUCCGAUGUAAAUCGGAAUUGCAAACUUGGCUAUAUGCUGGAAUAUCUGUUCUGCGAAAGCAGUUAAAAGUAUCCGGUGCUAGUUGACAUUUGGGUUUGAUUCGGUAUACGAUAAAUCUAAUGUCCACUAAAAAUGCAUCCGGUGCAGACAAUCAGCAGGAAACGUCGCUAGAUUCUAAGAGCUUCUUAGACCGCAAGGUCACAGAAGCCGAAGGCUUCUAUUACACUGGCUUUUGUGUUGGAGAGUUGAGUUGCUCGGUAAUUCGAGCAAACGAUAAAAGAGGCAGAGGUUUUUACUUCAUGCCUGAUAUAACUGUUUCCAACGCAGAUUUAAAUCUUCUAAAAGAAAUUAAUCAGAUAGUGGCCUCAAAUUUAGGUAAUAUCAGUCCUAUUAAAGGUGGAUAUAACCUAAAAUUUAGAGGUAAAAAGAAGGUUGAAAAAGUUUUUCAAUUUUUCCAAAACUAUCCGGUUAUAACUGGAGAUUUAGCCAAAAGAAAGCUUGAACUUCUAAAGAAUGUUUUACCGGCAAUCGGUGGAAAUUCUAAAGUUUCAAAUAGAGAAAAAGUAAUAGGAAAAUGCCGUAAAAAUUUAAAAGAUCUAAAGCUAAAUGGUCUUGUUGAAGAGAUAAUAGAAAGCAAUCAUUUUAGAAAUGAUGAAAUCGGUUUCUUUUUAGCAGGAAUUAUUGAUGCGGAAGGAUCGUGUGGCUUUAAGAAAUCAGGCACAAGAUUACAACCAUUUUUCGCAGUAGCAAUGAAAGAUCGAAAAAUCAUUGAAUUGAUUCAAGACUUUCUUAACUGCGGAAACAUUCAUGUUAGAACGAAUGAUGGUUUGUAUCAUUGGGAAACCAGCAAGAAAUCUGAUGUACUUAAGGUUGCUGAAAUUUUUAUGACUAUAUAUCCUUCGAAACUUCAAAAGAUGAAGGAUAGAAUGAAGAAUCUAAGACGAACCCACAACGACUAUACGCCAAGAUCCGGCUAUGCCGGAAAAUGAUAUAGUCUGAACUCCGACGCGAGUCGGAGAACUGAGUAGAAAUAUCUCAGUCUUCCGCCACAGGCGGAAAGUAACAAAAUUGUGUCUGGUGAGUUCAGACCCGCACGAAAGGUAGAACGACUUAGCGACUGUCUUGAGGAUAGACUCGGCGAAAUUGCAAUGGCUGUGAAGAUGCGGCCUUCCCAUACUUGGACAAAAAGACCCCGUGGAGCUUUACUGUAGCUUGACCCUGAUUUAAAGUUAAAAUUGUGUAGCGUAGGAGGGAGCUUCGGCACCGAUGAAACACCUCUCUUUUUUGAAUUUAAAUCUAACCGUAACCCUUAUAAAAACAGGGCAUGGAACAAGGUCUGGCGGGCAGUUUGACUGGGGCGGUCCCCUCCAAAAAAGUAACGGAGGGGUACAAAGGUACACUUAAGUCGUAAGGAAAUCGACUGUUAAGCGUAAAGGUAUAAAGUGUGCUUGAUAGCAAGACUUACAAGUCGAGCUAGUGCGAAAGCAGGUCUUAAUGAUCCCCCGACAGCUCGAGGGAGCGUCGGGGCUUAUCGGAUAAAAGCUACCCCGGGGAUAACAGGCUAGUCUUGCCCUACAGUCCACAAGGACGGCAAGGUUCGGCACCUCGAUGUCGGCUCAUCACAGCGCGGGGCUGAAGCAGGUCCCAAGCGUCUGGCUGUUCGCCAGUUAAAGUGGUACGCGAGCUGGGUUCAGAGCGUCGUAAGACAGCUUGAUAGAAAGAACUGUCUUUCUUCAACGAUGCUUUUCCAA